AAUGAACGUUGGCGGCGUGGAUUAGGCAUGCAAGUCGAGCGAGAAGUGUAGCAAUACACGGAAAGCGGCGAAAGGGAUAGUAACACGUAGGUACCUACCCCCGGGCCUGGGAUAGCGGCGGGAAACUGCCAUUAAUACCAGAUAACGUCUCCGGACCAAAGGUGUGAUUCCGUCUGGGGAGGGGCCUGCGUCCUAUCAGCUAGUUGGUGAGGUAAUGGCCCACCAAGGCAUUGACGGGUAGCGGGUGUGAGAGCACGACCCGCAUCACUGGGACUGAGACACUGCCCAGACACCUACGGGUGGCUGCAGUCGAGAAUCUUCCGCAAUGGGCGCAAGCCUGACGGAGCGACGCCGCGUGCGGGAUGAAGGCCUUCGGGUUGUAAACCGCUGUCAGUGGGGAGGAAAUGCAUGGGGGUUCUCCCCCAUGUUUGACCGAUCCGCAGAGGAAGCACAGGCUAAGUUCGUGCCAGCCGCCGCUGUAAUAC
rnacentral:rRNA from 1 species